AGCGAACGCUGGCGGCAGGCUUAACACAUGCAAGUCGAGCGGGCGUAGCAAUACGUCAGCGGCAGACGGGUGAGUAACGCGUGGGAACAUACCUUUUGGUUCGGAACAACACAGGGAAACUUGUGCUAAUACCGGAUAAGCCCUUACGGGGAAAGAUUUAUCGCCGAAAGAUUGGCCCGCGUCUGAUUAGCUAGUUGGUGAGGUAAUGGCUCACCAAGGCGACGAUCAGUAGCUGGUCUGAGAGAUGAUCAGCCACAUU
rnacentral:rRNA from 1 species